rnacentral:rRNA from 1 species
GACGAACGCUGGCGGCGUGCUUAACACAUGCAAGUCGAACGGAAAGGCCCUGCUUUUGUUGGUUGCUCGAGUGGCGAACGGGUGAGUAACACGUGAGUAACCUGCCCUUGACUUUGGGAUAACUUCAGGAAACUGGGGCUCAUACCGGAUAUGAGCUCCUGCUGCAUGGUGGGGGUUGGAAAGUUUCGGCGGUUGGGGAUGGACUCGCGGCUUAUCAGCUUGUUGGUGGGGUAGUGGCUUACCAAGGCUUUGACGGGUAGCCGGCCUGAGAGGGUGACCGGCCACAUUGGGACUGAGAUACGGCCCAGACUCCUACGGGAGGCAGCAGUGGGGAAUAUUGCACAAUGGGCGGAAGCCUGAUGCAGAAACGCCGCGUGCGGGAUGACGGCCUUCGGGUUGUAAACCGCUUUCGCAUGUGACGAAGCGUGAGUGACGGUAAUGGGUAAAGAAGCACCGGCUAACUACGUG